rnacentral:misc_RNA from 1 species
GUAUUACAUUUGUUCAGCUCAUUACAAGCCUUUCAAGACAUUCUACAAAUUGUAAUUGGGUAUAUAAUACCAACGUAGCCAAAGUCAACAAAUUAAACUGUUUUAAUACCGAGUACUUGACUUACUGCACUGACGGUAACAAGACCAUGAAGGUCUAUCAACGGUGCACACAGUUUAUCAUUCCUCAAGUAUCAAAAUUCAAUCCAUUUCAUCUCCUUUGUCUACAAUAAAGUGCACAGGUGGGGGGAUAAAGAUUUCAGGAGUGCACAGUGCAAAGACUUUUAACGGUCUCGCCAGCACAUCCUUUUAGAAUCGAUAAUGAUCCUUCCGCAGGUUCACCUACGGAAA